rnacentral:lncRNA from 1 species
GAUAAAGGAUCCAGAAGGAGAAGACGUUUGGCUUAUACCCCAGUUGAGCUGCCUGUGGGAGUGGAGCUGAAGCCAUCGCUAGACCGUUAAUUCCGCCGCUGUUUUCUUUUCUUUGUAAGUAUGUAACGUUAUUAUUAAGAUGGAUUUGUAUAUUAAAAUUGUCAGUUUGUGUACCUCGGCUGAUUCCUGGACGAGGAUUUUAUGCACAAAUAAGUUCGGAAAUUACUAGUGAAUUUCCGGGCGUGACAGUGGAGGUGGGUUGCCCUGAUGGUUGUGGUUGCUGCCUUCAGGUUGGUUGCCAUCACCGGUGGCAGCAUUUCUCCUGGUCGUCACCAUCUGAAAACCCCACACAGAACCAACAAACAGAGAGAGCUGACAAUUAAAGCUAACCACCCACGACUACCAUAAUUCUUAAAUUUAUUACUGCUAUUAAAUUGGUUCAUUAAGGUUCAAGUUGCUUAGGCGAAUAAAUAAAGACAGGCUCCGACACAGUUACACCACACACCAGCAUAACUGUGCCCUACACAACCCAACAAGAAGACAAACGAGAAAGAACACACGCGCAAGCCUACUAACUGCUCGUCUACUGCUGCGACGGGCCAGGACGGAAGGUGAGCAACAGCGCAUCCUCCGUGCUACCAACGCCGGAGGCUUCCCCCUCCUGGGGAACCACGGGCGCAGGCUCGGCACGAGGGGCCUCCACGAAGCAAGUCCACGCCAGGGACUGACGAACAAGCUCGGGCCUGGAGGUGCUCUUGCGGGCAGUGAUCUUCAGACUGCGGCAGACACGGCGGCGCUUGGGGCGGCAGAUCUCUCCCUGGGCGAUCUUGAGCUGAUGCAGCUGCGCCUCCACUGCGUCCAGGUCCUUCUUGAGCUGCAGGUUCUCUUGACGCAGCUCCAGGAUCUUCAGGUUGUUCUCGACCAUCCCACGGCGCACCAUCUGAUGGAAGUCGAUACGAGCCGCGUCGUACGCCUCCACCAUACGCGCCAAGUGCACGAUGGUAGCGUCAUCCUCCGAGCUAGCAUCCCGGAAGGUGGCGUGGUCGCGGGCUCCUCCGCGACGAGGGUGGUAGCGGUAGGGCGAGUGCUGCAACUCGUCCGGGUAGCGCUGGUGAAGAGUGCCGAUGGCGAGGAGAGCGGCGCUCUGGCAAGCGGCGGGGAAGGAGUCUCCACCAGCGGUGACUGUCAGCGAAGUCCGCUCGGGAGAGCCAGCGAGGAUCACUGCAGUGACCUCCCAAGCAGCGUGGGGCUCCGCAUCGUCACCCUCCUGCUCCGGAAGCGGCCUGGCCUGGUAGUCCACUCCGUGUGGAUACCCCAGGGCCACGCACAUGCCCCGCAGCUCCAAGAAGAAACCAGUCAUGUCCAAACCACGACGGGUGACGCUGCCGGCCAUCUACAAACAAAAACAAAAAGAAAAGCAACAUUUUAAAGGUCAGAUUUUGGCGAUAAAUGAAGCAGCAAGACAGAGAGAGACUAGAGGAUUUUCACAAAUACAAAGGAUUUUUAUUUCGAAAAUAUUGCUAAGGCUUGGGAUCUACGGCUCGUCCUAGGGUCAAGGGGGCUCUGAUACCAACUUGUCACGACCGGAAAUAACCCAACGGGCAUUCCUUACGUGCGUGCAUUAAUCCUUGUCCCAGGAGGCAAGGUACACCAAAAGUUGAUACAAUUCAGAGUUUAACAAGCGGAAGCGUAAUUAGAUAACUUAUUACAUGGGCAACGAAGGCCCAGCACACACAGAGACAAACGAGAAACAGCGGAAGACUAGGGCGACGACCACAGGCGCUUGACGGCAGGCACGAGCUAGACACCGAAGCCUUCAUCCUCCUGGAACUCCUCUUCUGGGGUUGGGAAAAAUUGAGCAAGACUGAGUACAACCACCGUACUCAACAAGACACACCCACAAGUGCAGAAUAAAUGCAAGGGAGUACAAAGGAGUUAUACUGUAAAGGGGUUAGGGUUGCAGUAAACAGCAUUUAAAGAUAUUUAGUUGCUCAGGGCUAUUUUGUAAACACGAUUCUAGAACUAAACAAUAUUAUUUAUCAAGGCCGUGAACCCACACGAACCUGCCUUAACCCAAGGCCUACGAUGAUUCAGACCGAACUGGCAACCCGACCCUGGGUCCCAGCUCGUCCCAAGCCAACCCAGGCCAACCAUUCCACAUUUUAGUUGUUAAGCAGGUUUUAAGAAUUAAAACACUAACUUGGGUACAUUGCUCGGCUUGCCCAUAACCGAGGGCGCGGCUAUUCGAAUAGAUUUUACUCUGAUCAGAGGUGUACAUCUUUACCCACAAGACACAUCUCCCUCACGUGUAACCACGUGCCACAUACCACCACGGUAUACAGACGGAAGACGUGACAUAGUUUCCAACCCAUCCUAGCCAUAGACAAGAGUACCGACCCAAUCCCGCCUACGGCCGGAACCCCCGGGACAGGCAGGCAGGACUGAGCCCCUAGCAGCAGGACACCGGCCCUGUGCCAUGACAUCUCGACUACCGGGCCGCAGCUCGUGUAGCCUUCAUUUGCCCUGGAGAAUGUCCAUCGACCCCCGACUUCAUCCACCUCCAUCCGUGUACUUUUGUUUAUAACUAGACUGAGCCACAAACUAAGCCUUACCCACUAGACAUGUGGAAGUACGGUAGUGCUUUGCAACAGAGGCCCGAAGACCGGUCCUUAUAUGGCCGAGGUGCUACUAUCAAAACCAUUUUUGGGGAUUUUGAAUAGAGGGGGCGGUGUGAAUCCAAUUCCACAAUACUCCAACAACUCCACAGUGUCCAGGUGAUAUGAACAUUCCCAAAGUCUAGAGUUGUAAAACCGCCUAAUGUUACCUAAUUAAAAGCGAAGCAUCUACCUAUAAUCGUACUAGUGGUACCAUGAGUAGAGUGCCCACUAGUUGGGGUUUUGUUUAUUCUAGGGUGAACAAGGUAAUAAUAACAAUAACAAUAAUAAGGUCAUAACAAAGGUAAAUAGGCAUGGCUAAAUAAAACAGUGAUAACGCGGGAAUUUAAAUAAAGCGAUAAUGCAAUAAUUUAAAUCAACAUAAUUUUACAAACUGGGAUUCAAUAUGUUCAAAGAUGAUGUGACUUGCCUUGCUUGCUUUCCCAAACACCGGCUUCAACUUCCACGAAGAGCGGAUCUUCCGAAGCUGCAGCGUCUACACGACCAACGGAAAAGAAAAGGCUUUUACUCUACUAAACUCCAUAUAACCAGCAGAAACAAAGCACAAAAAUGGGUUCUUGACUUCUUAAGGAAAAAUUAGAGACUUGAACGGUCCAAUUCCGAGUUCAAAUGGCCAAGUUAUGGCCAUUUGAAGUUUAUAUGCUCUUUAAAUGAAUAUUUGCGAAUUUCUUCAUUUAAAUUUUUAAUUUAAAAUCGGAUUUAUUGCGUCAGCCGAGGGGAGGGGCGCGUGGACCGGGUCCACGGGAGUGGGGCCCACGCGGCAGCCUCACGGUCCACGGUGGACCGGGUGCACGCGGCUUGCGCCGGCCGGCGCCGUGGGUCCCACGCGUCAGCCGCACCCGAGGGCGCGGGCGGCUGACGGCCGGGCCCCACAUGGCAGCCGCGGGGCGCGCCCGAAGGCGGCCUCGCCGGCACGGCCGACGGGAGGCGGCGCGCCCGCGCCCCGAUGGUCGCCGGCGGCGACCUCCAGCGCGACGGAGCGGCGCCCGAGAGAGGGGAGGGAAGGGGGAAGCGAAAUGGCGGUCCUCGGCUCACCCCGGGUCGACGGCGACGACGGGAACGGCGACCGAAGCGGAGAGAGGCGGCGGCGCGGCUCGGGUCGACGAGGACGGCGGUGCUCCGGCGGUCGGCGGGCGAAACGGAGGAGUGGACAAGGUCGGCGAGAACGCGGCGAAGCCGAAGGAGGCGAUGCCGAAGCGGGAGGAGGUCCGGGGCGACGACGGCGGCGGACCGAAGCUUGGCGGCGAUGGCGGAGAGAGAGGACGACGGCGCGAGCUCGAUUCCGACGGGGAGAGCGAGCGGCGAACGGCGGAAACGGAGGAGGGAGGCACGGGGAGUGCUUAAAUAGGGUUGGGAGUGAGAGAGGGCGGCCGGAGGGGAAGGAAAUCGGCGCGGCGAUCUCGGGCUCCAUUGAUGCGCCGGCGAAGAUUGCGGGAGGGAUUCCAAACGAAUCCAAGGGAGAGAGAGAGAGAAAAGAGGGGGGAAAGAGGGAGGGAAUCACGGGGAGUGAUUUCCCCCUCUUUAUGGCGAGCGGGGACGGCGGGAAGCGGCGGAUUCGGCGGCGGCGGCGGCGCUAGGGCACGGGCGGGCGGCGGGAGCGGCGGAAGGUAGGGGAUGACGGGUGGGCCCCACCCGUCAGCGAGGAUGGUGGGCGGGCCCGCCCGUCAGCGGCGCGCGCGCGGGGGAGAGGAGAGAGAGGGAGGGAGCUGGGUCGAGCCGGCCCAAGAAGGGAAGGGGGGAAAGAAGACUUUUAGGGAUUUUUCUUUUUAUAAAACCAUUUUAACUUUGUUUAUUUCUUCUCAAUUAUUAUUUGUGCUCUGAAAAUUCCACUAAAAUUUAUUUACGCAUUUUAGGCUUUUAGGAAAUAUACAAAAAUCCUCCAAGCCUUAUUUGACUUUUAGCUUUGCACAUUUUAAUUGUUGGAGGCUUUCACAUGGAUUUUACUUAUUCUAUGCACAAUUUCGAGGAUGUAUUUUAGAGUCGAUUUGGGACGCGACAAGCUCUCCUCUACCCGUCGCCACCCUCGCCUUCGCCUCUCGUCGUCCGUAGAGCUCUAGCGCCAUGUAGCCUUGAGCCGCCGUCGCUCCAGCCGUGCGCCACCGCCGUUCCAGUCGUCGCCGUCGCUCGGGAAGGUCGCCUUCGUGGUCGCCAAGUCACAGCCGUCCUCGUCCGCCACUUCGCCACCGCCGGAGACCGCCGGAGCAUCGUCGCCGUCAUCAAGCCGAAGACCGCCGCCGUUUCUUCCUCGUCGCCGUCGCCGUCCGUUGCUCCUCCGCCGCUUCUUUGGUCGCCGGUGAGUUUGCCGCGUCGCCCUCUACCCGUUGGUGCCCUCCGUUCGUGCCGAAGCGCCGCCGUUCGCCGGCAAGCGUGCGCCGUCCGAGCCGUCCGAGCCGCCGAGCCGCCGCCGCCGGUGGUGACGUCAUCGCUGGCGUCAUCGUCCCCGUCUCCCGUGAGCUGGUCGUGGACCGAUCGAUCUCGGCCGUCCGUUUUGGAUGGAUCGAUCUCGGCCCUCCGUUCCCGUGAACCGUCGCUGUGCGCCCGGUCCACCGCAAACCCUAGCCGCUGACGCAAUAAUUCCCUUUUUCCUUUUCAAAAAUAAUUCAUUAUUGCGUCAUAAUUCAAUUAAAAUCCAUAUAAGUGUUUCAAUCCGAUUAAAUCUUCAAAAAUUCAUAACUAAUUCAUCUUAGCUCGGAUUUAGUUGGUUCAAGUCUCUAAAUUUUUCUAAAAUUGAGGUCUACAUGUUAAAAAUAUCCACAUAUACUGUUCAUGCUUGUUUAUGUGCUGUUUUGGUGAUUUUGCUUCUUUCUGCUUAGAUUCCAUCGUUUCCGGAGAGUCCGUUUUCGCAGCAGAAGAGUUUGAAGAGUUCCAAGGCCAGCAAGGCAGGUCACACAGAUCCCAAACAACCCUUUAAGCAUGUUGAUCCUAUUUAAAGCUAUUGUUUCUAUUCAACUAUUGCAUCUAUUUUCGAAUGUCAUUGGGUGGAAUUAACCUAUUGUUUGCCAUAGCCCUUUUGUUCUUGAUUACUUUAUUCCUUGAUACCUUGGGUUAUUAAAACUUGACUAGUUGAGCUCUAUAUAAUGGUUCAGCUAGAUGUUAGAUAUGAUUGCUUAGCCAUGCUUAGAAACAUUAGCACACUAUUGGGAUAACUUAUGAAUCACUAUUAUUUAAUGAUGGCUUAAUGAUAGCUCACGAUGGUCAAUCGUGAUUGGUUAAUUAAUUAAUUUGCCAACUAAAACUUGAUAAUGGUGGGUUGUGAGCACAUGGUUUUGAUGGUCGUGCUCAUGACAAUUAAGGACCGGUUCACGAGUUUCGGUUGUGAAACAUUAACCGUGCCAACCACAAGCCAGCGUGGGCAACGGCUUUAUCUUUUGUAUAGCAUGGUUCAUUGCGGAGCACCAGACUGAGAAGUGGCGGAGAUAAGCCCACGGGGGUCGCUGGGGAGUCCAUACCUUGUUUAUAAGGGGGUGAUUAUGAUCUAGGAAUGGUGCACUGUGGUGGAUUGUGUUGUACGAGAGGUACUGUCACAGCUCCUUUCCGAGGUACCGUGGUGGUAUUGAGGCACAUGGUGACAUGAUGUGGGGCUGUGUCUUGUGGUUACAGUGGUACACCUCUGAUCAGAGUAAAACUAUUCGAAUAGCCGUGCCCGCGGUUAUGGGCGGGUCUAACAAUGUCUUUCGUGAUUAGUUUCACACUUCUCAUCAUAAUAGAAGAUGCUAUAAUUGGUAAUAAUUUGAUUAGCUCCUGGUUUGGAAUGGUAUAUUCCUGGUUUGGAGAUAGAUCUGUACAGCCGGGUAUGGUUGUUCAGAAUGGUUGGGCCUAUACAACAGGGUAUGUUGUAUAGCGUUGGAUUAAUAUUGUUUAUUAAUUAACUGUUUUAUAAAAUUCUCAAAUGUUUGCUAAAUGCUGCUUUUGCAAAUAAAACCCUAUACUAUGCCAUCCUUUGUUAUCCUGUGCACUUGCAUAUUUGCUACGUGACUUGCUGAGUAUGUCAUAUACUCACCUUGCAAUCAUUCAUCAGAGGAAGAGUUCUACAAUGAUGCUGAUGGUGUGGAGGAUUAGGUGUAGCCCUGGUCAAGCUGCCUGUGGAGUGGAGCCGUCUGCGCCGUUUUUUUUUUCCGCUGCUUAGAUCUUUAUUUAUUGAGAGGAACUAUCUACCUCUGUAAUGAUAUUUUAUUCGCUUAUUAAGUAGAGUAAUAAUUGUACUCUAUUAUCAAUUUGUUAUUGUGUGCCUCAGCUGAUUCCUGGACGAGGGUUCACACACAUGUAAGCGUUUGGAAUUUUGGAUAGAAAUUCCGGGCGUGACAGUAUGUAUUCUAGUCUUUUCAUGAGAUUUAGAUUUUGCUUUUAAGGGAGAUGAUGCAUGAC